CGAUGGCCCGCGUAAGCGGGAUCAGGUAAGGGUGAAAGGGUGCGGUAAGAGCGCACCGCGCGGCUGGUAACAGUCCGUGGCACGGUAAACUCCACCCGGAGCAAGGCCAAAUAGGGGUUCAUAAGGUACGGCCCGUACUGAACCCGGGUAGGCUGCUUGAGCCAGUGAGCGAUUGCUGGCCUAGAUGAAUGACUGUCCACGACAGAACCCGGCUUAUCGGUCAGUUUCACCU
rnacentral:RNase_P_RNA from 1 species